CCUACGGGUGGCAGCAGUGAGGAAUAUUGGUCAAUGGACGAGAGUCUGAACCAGCCAAGUAGCGUGAAGGAUGACUGCCCUAUGGGUUGUAAACUUCUUUUAUAUGGGAAUAAAAUGUUCCACGUGUGGGAUUUUGUAUGUACCAUAUGAAUAAGGAUCGGCUAACUCCGUGCCAGCAGCCGCGGUAAUACGGAGGAUCCGAGCGUUAUCCGGAUUUAUUGGGUUUAAAGGGAGCGUAGGUGGAUUGGUAAUUCAGUUGUGAAAGUUUGCGGCUCAAACGUAAAAUUGAAGUUGAAACUGGCAGUCUUGAGUACAGUAGAGGUAGGCGGAAUUCGUGGUGUAGCGGUGAAAUGCUUAGAUAUCACGAAGAACUCCGAUUGCGAAGGCAGUUCACUGGACUGCAACUGACACUGAGGCUCGAAAGUGUGGGUAUCAAACAGGAUUAGAUACCCUAGUAGUC
rnacentral:rRNA from 1 species